ACGACUUCGGACACGUCGUCAUCAGGGGCGACGACUUCGGACACGUCGUCAUCAGAGGAGGAGGCGACGACUUCGGACACGUCGUCAUCAGGGGCGGGGGCGUCGACUUCGGACACGUCGUCAUCAGGGGCGACGACUUCGGACACGUCGUCAUCAGGGGCGUCGACUUCAGAACAGGAAGGGGCGUCGACUUCAGAACAGGAAGGGGCGUUGACCACCAUCGACUUCGGGUCCACGGGCGUUGACUUCUGGUCCUUCGAUUUUCGGACCGUCGACCUCUGGACCGCUGGUCUCUGGACUGGAACUGGAACCGUCUGCUUCUGGCCCGGAGGAGUCGGCUUCUGGUCCCUCGACUUCUGGACCGCCGACUUUUGGACCGGAUCCGGUACCGUCUGCUUCCGGGCCGGUACCCUCUGCCUCUGGGCCCGCUCCGUCGGCUUAUGGGCCGAUGGCAGAGCCGCUGCUGGGACAGCUGGGAACGAUGAGGAGAGGCGGGAGGUCAGAUCGUCCAGCUGUAGCCGGAGCUUUAUCAGCCGGGCUGCGAUCGCUCCACCUGCAGACGACGGGGGCGCUGAUGGGACCGGUGAUGGGACUGCUGGCCUGGCCGGGGGUGGGUACAAGGCGCUGAGUCAGGCAGGGGCAUUAGCGAGUCCGCAGCUCCGCGCCGGGACAAAGGGCUGUGGUGGAGCUCGGCGUUCUUCUCCACGCCGCGGACCAACUCCGGGGGAACAGACCGCCAGUCUCGUGCCCACGAAACUGGAGCGAUCUGGCAGCGGCUCCCGGUCCAAACAUGCCUCCGGUUCCGGGAGGACAGGGAGGAACGCCGCGGCCGAAGGUCGGCGAUGCCGGCGGCGACGAGGCAGAGCUGAGGCUGGAGAGGGAGAAGCCGGCUGGUGGGUUGGGGUAAGCCACUGGAGCAGGUUCUCCCAAGGCAGAAUCUCCCGGCUGGAUCCAUCAACGGGUUUGGGUGGUGUCAUUCUGUCACGACGUGCUGCGGAGUGGAGCGGAGGUAAGGCGUGGAUCCAGACCGGGGAGGAAACAGGCAGGCAGGUAGGAACGAUUAACAAGGGUUUAUUAAGCACGCUGGACAAUGAAACAAUGACACCACAAGGAACACAGAACAGCAGGGAUUUAAAUACAUGAGGAACGGGAGCUAUGGUGAUUGGGAAACAAGAGGCAGGUGGGAGCAAUUAACGGAGACACAGACUACAACCUAGGAGAAGACAGGACAGGGUGUGGCACUCUGAGCCUGUUUGGACCAACCUCUAAGGCACAUGUGUUAGACGCAAUCUGGCCCGCGGAGCAUUUUUAUGUGGCCCGUGAGACAAAUAUCAAAAAUAUAUUAAAACUGACGCGCUGGACGAUUUUACUGUUGUAGGGUUUGGCAAAUUGAGUGCUUUAAGAGCUCAAUAUGACCAAUAGAGCUCCGGGAGUUGACGUCACGUUUCCCGGCAUGCAACAGUUCAAAUCGAAACGGCGCCAUUAGGCAGGCAGAAGCCGGCAGCUGGACUAUUUGUUAUUGUCAGAAAACGCAAUCAAAUGGGAAAUAUGGUAGAUUCCUGUUGUGCCCCAGGAUGCAGAACAGACGCGGAUGACAUAAGGAAUGAGCCAUCUACAGGAUUCCCCAAGAUCCAGAACGCCGCAAACGUUGGAUCAUUGUAAUAAAACGCGCUAGUGACCGGGCUGAAAUGAAGCUGUGGGAUCCCGAGAGUAAAGGUUUUCGCUUAUGCAGCGUCCGCUUCAUAUCAGGUACUUAAACCAACGUGUCCUCAACUGUAUAUGGUGUUUAUUUUAAAUGCUUUUAUUACGAUUCUUAGUGGGCUUCCUAAACUUAUUUAGGCGUGGCUUUUUCUGUCUUAUUACUCAUAGCAACAAGUAAAGAUCACGUAAAACAUUGCCUCGUGAGUUCUGCGUGCUGCCGUUUGCGUGUUUUAUGAUCACAGCAAUUAACCGGCUAAGCUGUAUUUAAUUUUUAAGCAAUGGUUGAUCAAUUGUCAGAUCACACAUAAAAAGCACUUUGGAUUGCUAUUAUCUGUCUCACCGAGACACAUCCUGAGACGCUCCUGCCUGACAUAUUUAUUUUAUUCACGGAAAAAAAAAUCAAACUGGUGAUUUCUCUUGCCGUUCAGUUUAUACAUUCAAACAGCACAGCACUCUAUUUAAACUACUUACGUGUAAAUCUGUUAUUUGUCCAUCCAUCCAUUUUCAUCCGCUUAUCCGGAGUCGGGUUCCGGGGGCAGUAGCGUCGAGAGGCCCUGACUUCCCUCUCCCCAGCCGCCGGAGCCAGCUCCUCCGGGUAAAUCCCAAGGGGUUCCCC
rnacentral:lncRNA from 1 species